UGAAAUCUCACCAGGCCCGGACACUGGAAGGAUUGACAGAUUUAUAGCUCUUUCUUGAUUCGGUGCGUGAUGGUGCAUGGCCGUUCUUAGUUGGUUGAGUGAUUUGUCUUGUUAAUUCCGAUAACGAACGAGACUCUGUCCUGCUAAAUAGUGACGCGGUUCAUCGAACCGUGGGCCACUUCUUAGAGGGACUAUCGGAUUCAAACCGAUGGAAGUGUGAGGCAAUAA
rnacentral:rRNA from 1 species